rnacentral:rRNA from 1 species
GGGGAGGGGAGGGGAGGGUUGGUUGAGCGGGGCGGCCGCGGCUGGGCGCCGGGAUGUUGGGGAGGUCUGGGGGAGCUAGGCUACGCGAUCGGGCGACUAGGCCCCGGGGUUAGCGCGUUAAGGGCGGCGGUACCUGCGGGGGCGCGGAUGGGGGCGGGGGCGGGGAGGGCGGCGGCGCCACGGCCGGCUCCGGCGGCGCUCCCGAGGACGGGGGCGAGGACGCGGCGGCGUCGGACGGCGCCGCCGGGGCGGCCGCCCCUCCGUCGACAAGAGGCACCUCGAGGCCGGGCCCCUCUGGUGGUAACACAGCACCUUCUUCGAAGAGUUCCUACGGCCGGGCCCUCGGCGGGGCGGCGGGAGGGACGGGCGGCGCCGCCACGUCGGCCAGCAACGGGGGGAGCGCCCCGGGAGACCACGACGCCAUGUAGGUUGUCUUUUGCUGGGUUUACUAGGUAGUGUCAGUUUAGCCAAGUUACGUCAAUAACUCUUUUAGCUCGCGGAAAUGUACCCGUUUGUAUCAUCGCUGCUUCUUCUAAACCCACUACACGGACUACUACUAGUCAUACUGUGGCUUCUAAGAAAGUAACUACUGCGACUUAACCUGCUCAUGAAACUUCAACUGUUAAACCUUUGGUUCGUGUGACCUAAAAAACACUUGUUUCCCUUUAACCUUGUUUCACUCAUACCGAGUCAUGUUUUACAACAUGGUCUACCGUGUCAUGUUUUACAACCUGGCUUCUUUGCCUCUUCUUCUCUGAGAAGUUUAAGAAUGUAGCUUUUAUCGUUCCUCGAACGUUGUCCGUCGUACGGACAUUUUCGGGGAUUUUCUUUACGAGAACUUUAUCCCUUUUUGUAUCGUUCAUCGCUGAAUUCAAGAAUGUCGCUUAUAGUGAGACUUCCGUUGUUUGGCAACUGCUUAUUUUCAUUAAGGGGACCUUCUUACGUCUUUCACUUACGGUCACUGUUACGUUGACCACGACUCAUGCGUAGUGAAGGCUUCUAUAGUUGCUUCGGUCUAAACGGUUUCUUUUACGCAAGGUUUCUUUUUAUACCACAGUUAGUCAAAGGACCGAACUGAUGUCGUCUGUUGCAUAUAAGCUGUGUUUGUUGCGUGAACCGACGUUUGUCCGCGUAUCUUCCAAGUCCAUAAUUCCGGUUCCCAUGGUCUGAGCUCGCUCGAUAAGCACUGGAACUUUUAUAACAACCACUUAUGUUUGGCGUAUGAGAACUACAAGGCAUGUAACUAGGUUUAACAGUUCCUCGCCAGUUUUCUUCUGACGGAGUUCUUUAUUUUGUUUUUGAACGAUUCCAGCGUUCCAAUAGCCGUUUAGUCCCAUUUUAGAGUCUUCUACUUAACUAGUUAGCGGAGUACCCGUAUCACCCCGUGGAACACGUCGCAUCCUGUGACUUCUCUUUGUACUUUCUUUACCAGCUUAGCCCAUACACGCGAUUCGUUCUCUUCCGACUGUUCAAGGUCGUUCACUUUUGACUCUAGAUACUUUACCAGUUUCGUGCAGAUCUGUGGUUCGGGUUCCAAUGACUUGUUUCCCUACUAAGUCGUGUACUAAAAGUUCCCCCACAGUCAUAACUACUAUUUUGUCGGAAUUUUCCGUUUAAACAAGACCUACGAGGUGACCUCCUGUCCUAGACACUAGAUAUACUAGAAAUACAACUCCCAUACCUACUUCUGUUCCCGGGAGUCUCAGCAUUCAAUAUACAUCUCGAACGACUGAACACCGGUGUUCCAAUGUACCUAUUUCAACUUUAAGCUUUACGGUAAAGUUCUAGCUUCCUCGCUUCUUUAAAUAACAUGGCCGUCGCGUUCCAAGCGUUGCUCCUCUCUUACUUCUCCUCUUCCUAUCGACGACGGCGGUUCAGUGCUCUACCGUUGGGUUACCACCGAGUCAUACGAUGUCGUGUCGUUCAAUACGUUGGCGGGCACUUUCUGCGAUCAGGUAGCUACUGUUCGUGUGUGUGGAACAUAGGACAACAAUUGAUACCUGUAUCGGUCCAGACGUCUUUGCGACUGUCUCAACCACUUCACUGGCACCCACGUCGUAGACUGCCGUUGGCAUCAAGAAGGUGCCUGUAGUUCUCCUCCUUUGAUCCCAGACUGCGGCGGCACCUAGACGUUGACGUUCGAUUGGGUGACUUCCAAGGGGGCGCCAUACAGUCGCUCUUCGUCUUCGGACGCUUCGCACACCUACUACGUUUCCAGCCGUCAUCGUCAUCGGAAGGAGUCUGCCACGAACGGCAACGUCCGAUACUGGGGGUCGCCGGGCCGAUGUCGAUUGUUUUAGUAAAACCACCACGAGGUAACCCCUUGUCUUCUUAUUUAGUACCGGUUUCCAACCGAACAUUGUUUCUAUCCAUCCAUCUACAAGCUACACGAGCGACGGUUAACUGAAGACUCGUUUAAUACUAACUUGAGAAUCGCGCAGUAGAACUGACUCUUCCCAUAAAAGACCGGGUAAACAUCAAACCUUUCUACUUAUUAAAUGUACCAAAUCAGACAAAGCAAACAGUAACAAAGGGGAGCAACAUUAGUAAGACAACAGCCAAGAGCGAAUGGUUGUAGACGUAGACUCGAGGUAAAACUCACGGCCUCUAAUAGUAUACUCGGACAAAUAG